rnacentral:lncRNA from 1 species
GUCAAGGAGGAAUCUGGGAUGCUCACUGCCAUCCAGUCCUCUCGCUCAGUGGCCUUUCGGAGAGGCCCCUUAACAGCUUAUGUGAAACAAAUAUUAACACAAAUUGUAUAAUUACAUCAAAAUCCCCAAUUCCUCAAUGAUGCAAAAACAGCUUUCAGCUAAGAAUCCACCAGCAAUAAAACAUCUUAUAGUCGAAGCAGCGUACUCCCAGGAAGCCCCAAGAUGGGAUCUGAGCGACUUUCACAGUUUAUUUUCAUGGUAUUUAAAUUAUGAUACCAGUGGGUAUUUUUAAUUAGUGUGCACUUGUCUCCAUAAGCCAUGUUGGCAAAUUUGACUCAUUCAUACAGUAGUUGCGGAAAAGAGGCCAGCACAGCCUGCAGGAAUUAAAAUAAAAAGUUCCUGCAAGCUGUUAUCGACGUGACCAUAUCUCAUUAACUUUCAAAAUGGAGAUUAUUUGCCUGAAAGCUUGAUUUGACUAGCAGUAAUCAAAUAUUAGGCCCGACGGAGUGUGGGGUGGGCUGGCGAGGGGGCCUCGUUGUGAUGUAUAUCACCGAGUGUUCUGCAGUUCACUUUAAAUAGCAGUAUAAGAUCUUUGUUUUGACAAAAGCAAUAGGAAAGAGAAACACAGACAUAUGGCCCCGAAAGUAUUAUUAGGAGAGUUUUAUUUUAGAUGAGGACUCAUUAUUUACUAAGUUUCCUAGAAGACAAAUACAAGUAUGCUGGCUACUGAUUCCUUAUCUCAUUAAGGAUCCAGAAGAAGCCAUGGAGUAGCGUCCCCCACCUCACAUCAAAGUGUAAGCUUUGGAAACAGGGCCUAUCUUGUGACUGGUUACCUUUUUCUUAUUUCAUUGGAUUAAUUGACAUAAGCCUUGAAUUUAUCCAUCGGACGCCUGCCAUUGUUUUUACUAACUAUGAUGAAGGUGGUUGUAAAAUUACACACAAAAGGAGAAGAAGAUAAAGAGUCUCUUACCCCCUCUGUCUUUAAAGGAAGGGAGCAUCUUACUUGAAAUGGGUAUCUGGCCAGUCAUUAAGGAGUCUGAUUGUGAAAACCUGAAGUUCCCGGAGCAGGUUAGACACAGUCUCUUUUCAGAUCUUGUAUAUUCCCACAUGCACAAAGGAACAUUUGUACUGGGUAAGGGUAAACUGUAAGAUGAAGAUGUGUGGAGGUUGGGGGGUGGGGGUGACAGGCAAAGAGAAAGGUUCAGUUAAACAAAAGACAGGAGAUAAAGUCUUUGCCUUUUUAUGUCUUUGAACUGAGAACACGGUCUGCAUUUUACUACAGGAGAACAAGGCUACAGUGUAAGUAACUGGUUUUUGCAUUAGGCUCUCCCUGGAGGUAGCAGAAAAAUAUCAUGUCCCUGCAUGAAAUGUGAAUGUGAAAUCUACCAGAAAGAAAUAUUUAUGACCAUUUCAUGCUUGAUUAGGCUUGGAUGACAUCUGUUAGCAGACAGGAGCUGGACAAAGAGAGAGACGCUCGGGGGCAAAUGUUAACGGAGUUGUUUAGAUGACGCGAGGGUAGAGGCCUCCAUUUACUGCCAGGCAAAACACAGGAACUGUGUUAGCCACAGCACGGCUGACAAGCAUCACUGGAAUGGGGACCCCGGAAGCUAAGUCGAUGAACAGUCCCACAGCUGUCCAUCCUCACCGUGCUGCCUCAGUUUAUAUCAGAAUCCCUUAACAUCUAGGGAGCUGGCAUCUUAGUAAAGUUAAAAGAUGUGACACAGGAUAUACAGAAAUUCUCUCCACCUUCUCCCUGUAAGUUUCAGACCUUGCCCCUAGUUUUCUCAGUGGAAGAGUUCAUUAAGCCACAGGGCUACCCUGGUUCCAUUCUGCCACAAGAGUUCUUAUCGUAGUUUCCUUUAUUAGUAGGAUUCUUAUUUUAACGUGGUUCUAACUUAAGCAUGCAUGGCUUUAAACCAUGUAAAGGUUUGCCCAAAAUGAGAAGAAAAAUUCGUUUUUUAGAACUUAUUACCAGUCAUUAAACGCACUGAGGCUGGUACUGCUGUCUCAGCCGUGGCUCCCCAGAGUGGAGGGAUGAAGACUAGUUUCUUUCUGGUUCCUUUCCCAGCCUCUUUUCCUGUAACUUCUCUGUCUGGAAUGCUGAUGGGAAAUGUUAUUUUGUUUUUGUUUGCAGCAGGUCUGUUGUUUUGAUUUUGUCUGAGUGGUAUGGAAAACAGUACGUCACUUAGAGUGGGUGUUUGUGUACCGGCCAUUUGGCCGUUGCACAUAUAUUUCUCAUGCUUAUUACAUGAUGACAAGGGAACCAAAGAGACACAAGUUUCCAGCCGAUUUUUUUUUCUUUCCAGUUUAAUAAUAG